UUUUUUUUUUUUUUUUAAAUACAAGUUCAUGGGCCUCCCUCUCCCCAGUUCUAUUCACAGAUCCUUUAGGGGUCAGUUCAUGGUGACUUGCACUGCUGGAGCCCAGGACAUUUGUUCAAGGUGUGAGAUGAAUAAACUCAAUUCAGUAACACAAUGGGAUUCUGAACAUUUGAAUAUAAUUCACAAGAUAUUUUUAUACUUGCUAAGCAUACAAUGGCCAUUUCUAUACACCAAAUGUACUUUUUUGUAACACUAAGAUGCUGAAGGUGCUGCCAGACGCACAGGAUUUCAACAGUGCAGAAAGAACACUCUUUGAGAGCAUCAAAGUUAUCAGAGAAUUCGCCAUGGGGAAGGUCAAGUAAAGUAAUUUUCUGUGAGCUUAGUAGAGAGCAACAGAAUUACAUUUUCCAAUUUAAAAGCCUGACACUGCAGUGGAAAAGCCCAUCAACAUUCUCAACCCUGCACCAGAGGGAGAUAGAAAGGCAAAUUUCAUCUGAUAAACAUGCAACAGUCUUUCCUGGAAAGCUUAGUCAAAAUUCAUACCUUCAUUUCUCCCAAACAUCCACUGUAGAAAAUAGUCAUAUAUUUAUUUACUUUCCUAGUUUUUAUAUGAAUGUUAGAAUUGAACAGACACCUAAAUUAACACCUUUUUCUACAUUCACUUCUGGACUAUCCUGCUAUAGAUUCUUGAACCCUCAAAUAAGAUGGUCAAGUAUCUUAGAAACAGUCUCUGGUGAUCUAAGAAUAAAAUGCUACAUUUUUUUUAAAAAGGCCAACUUAGUGUAAUUAAAACAUUUUUUUAACUUUAAAACCGCAUUAUUCUGAAGGUGGCGGUCAGAUGUGCUAGAAGUGGAGUUCCCAUCGUGGCUUAGUGGUUAGCGAACCCAACUAGCACCCAUGAGGACUCGGGUUUGAUCCCUGGCCUGGCUCAUGGGUUAAGGAUCUGGUGUUGCUGUGAGUUGUGAUGUAGGCCAGUGGGUACAGAUCUGAUUCGACCCCUAGCCUGGGAACAUCCAUAUGCCGCGGAUGCGGCCCUAAAGAGACAAAAAGACAAAAAAACAAAACAAAACAAAACUUCUGAUGAAAGCUUGCAAAUUUUGUUAAUGAUUCUCAUAAUAUUAAUAUCAUAAUUUUUCUUUAAGAAAGCACAUUAAAAUAACAAGAUAUAUUAAGCAGUACUAUUAUAAUUUAUCAUACUACUAAUAAUGAGAACUCGAUUCAAUGACUAUUUAUCAAAAUAAGCCUGUGCUGGAGGAGCAGAGUAAAGGAUUAAAGAAACAUAAAUAAAUCCGACAUAGGUAUAUAAUAUUUCCUGGCUCUCAAGUAGCUGAUAUCUUAUUGAAAAGAAGAGACACCAACGUCUGAAAUAAUUUUCCAAACUGCAGAAAGCAUCAUAAACCACUCUACAUGAAAACAAACAUAUACUAGCAUGGAUAUUUACAGUAAUAUUACGCCCCUCUACAACUGAUUAUUAUUACUAUUGCAUAAAAUAGAAACAAAAAUCACAUUAAUUACUAUUAAUAUACCAUAGCACAUGAGAU
rnacentral:lncRNA from 1 species